rnacentral:rRNA from 1 species
AUUGAACGCUGGCGGCAUGCCUUACACAUGCAAGUCGAACGGCAGCACGGGAGCAAUCCUGGUGGCGAGUGGCGAACGGGUGAGUAAUAUAUCGGAACGUGCCCAGUCGUGGGGAUAACGUAGCGAAAGCUACGCUAAUACCGCAUACGAUCUACGGAUGAAAGCGGGGGAUCGCAAGACCUCGCGCGAUUGGAGCGGCCGAUAUCAGAUUAGGUAGUUGGUGAGGUAAAGGCUCACCAAGCCGACGAUCUGUAGCUGGUCUGAGAGGACGAUCAGCCACACUGGGACUGAGACACGGCCCAGACUCCUACGGGAGGCAGCAGUGGGGAAUUUUGGACAAUGGGCGCAAGCCUGAUCCAGCAAUGCCGCGUGCAGGAUGAAGGCCUUC